rnacentral:rRNA from 1 species
UCGAGCGGACAGAUGGGAGCUUGCUCCCUGAUGUUAGCGGCGGACGGGUGAGUAACACGUGGGUAACCUGCCUGUAAGACUGGGAUAACUCCGGGAAACCGGGGCUAAUACCGGAUGGUUGUUUGAACCGCAUGGUUCAAACAUAAAAGGUGGCUUCGGCUACCACUUACAGAUGGACCCGCGGCGCAUUAGCUAGUUGGUGAGGUAACGGCUCACCAAGGCAACGAUGCGUAGCCGACCUGAGAGGGUGAUCGGCCACACUGGGACUGAGACACGGCCCAGACUCCUACGGGAGGCAGCAGUAGGGAAUCUUCCGCAAUGGACGAAAGUCUGACGGAGCAACGCCGCGUGAGUGAUGAAGGUUUUCGGAUCGUAAAGCUCUGUUGUUAGGGAAGAACAAGUACCGUUCGAAUAGGGCGGUACCUUGACGGUACCUAACCAGAAAGCCACGGCUAACUACGUGCCAGCAGCCGCGGUAAUACGUAGGUGGCAAGCGUUGUCCGGAAUUAUUGGGCGUAAAGGGCUCGCAGGCGGUUUCUUAAGUCUGAUGUGAAAGCCCCCGGCUCAACCGGGGAGGGUCAUUGGAAACUGGGGAACUUGAGUGCAGAAGAGGAGAGUGGAAUUCCACGUGUAGCGGUGAAAUGCGUAGAGAUGUGGAGGAACACCAGUGGCGAAGGCGACUCUCUGGUCUGUAACUGACGCUGAGGAGCGAAAGCGUGCGGAGCGAACAGGAUUAGAUACCCUGGUAGUCCACGCCGUAAACGAUGAGUGCUAAGUGUUAGGGGGUUUCCGCCCCUUAGUGCUGCAGCUAA